CCCCCUUCUUCUCUCUUCUAUUUUUACCCGAAGACGAAUUUCCUCACCGGCGAACGGCGGCGCUGCCGUUCCUACGCGGCAUAGGAGCAGGACUCGAAUUCGAAUCCGAGGUUGCAGCUUCAGGAUAGCGCAGCAGGACUACUUGGGGAUUGGAUCUUCACGUUCGGAUCCUGUGAAAGAUUUGCAUUUGGUGUCGGUGGGUUGGCAUCUAUGCUGUCCAGGCAAUAGACUACUUCCCAUAUUGUUGGCCUCAUGCUAGGAUUAUGGUUGACACACUGGCAAGCGACUUCAAGCAUCUUCAACAUCUGCCCUUCAUACCCUGUGCCCUGGAG